rnacentral:rRNA from 1 species
AGGGCUUGACAUUUAGGUGAAGCAGUGGAAACACUGUGGCCGAAAGGAGCCUAAACAGGUGGUGCAUGGCU